CCUGAAGGGUUUAUGGCAGCCAGCGAGGCCUUGGCCGGUGUUUGGAUUGCGUGCUGACAGCCGGCCAGCUGGCCGCGGUUCAGAGCUCGGCGAUACGGCGCGCGGUGGGACUGUGCCGCCCGCUUGUACUGCUCGGCCUCGCGGGGACGUGGAGCAACGCCUGCUCUAUCAGCCGGAACUGCCUGGUCACGGCGCAGGAGGUGCUCGUGCCAUGGCUGGCAGGAUCCCUCUUGUUGAUCACACAGAGCCCCAUCGGACACGUCAGCCAUCCCCACACCUCUGCCACAGCACCACCCCUCUCAGCCAUGCUCAGGAGACAUGCUGUAGGGGUGUGUUAUCUGGAAUCUGUACCUAUUUAAAAAAAAUAAAAUAAAUACUGAACUCAAACCCUUCUUUCAAAUUCGAGAGCAAGCCCUAGAACUGCAGGCUCAUCAUCUACGGUCACCUUCGGACCGCUGAGGGUCACCGAGGAGGCCACCCAAGCAGGAUGAUAAGUUUGCACCAGGAUGCACAAAAUGCCAUAUUUGACCCAUUUUCUGUGAACUACCAUAGGACAGAGCAAGUGCGUUGCCUGUAUCCCUCUGAGUGUUGCUAAAUAAAGUGUGAACACUGAAAAAAUGUUUGUUUGGUAGAAAAACAUAGCCUGAUGCAGAAGCAAAGCACGUUCACACAAUUAAGACGUGCUACUAAGUGACAGCGUUUGAUCAGUCAGUUGACUAAUUGCGUAGGACUGCAGCAAGUAGAGAUUCUUCCAUCCCAAGGUUGCUUGCAAUGAAGCAAGGAGAAAGAGGUCACCUAAAUGGUGCACGACACAGGCUGGCCACUGCAAUCAAUCACUUCUGCUGAUGGGAAAAUGCAGGCACUUCUGCAAUAUCCAAAAUCUCACAGGCAAAUAAUUAUUUUGGAUUAGAAGUAUGUUGUAUUUUUGAGAUAUUUCCACACAGUCACUGUUAGUUUAUCACCUAAUUAAGGUAUAUUGUAGCGGGUUAUUACCAAAUAUGAAAUUUAUUACAGUUACUUUGCGGUUAUACUCAAGGGCUGAAUUAGUACUUUAUUACUAUAGGCAACUGAUAACACAUCUAAUUAAGGUAUCUUUGUAUCUAUCUCUGUUGUUCAGAAUUGUUCUGACAAAUUAUUUGCUAGCACUGAAUAAUUGGUCUUAUUAGUUACUUCAAUGUCCUGAAACACAACUCAAUUAACAGGUAGAAAAAAUGAUCAUACCACCAAACUCCUAAGUAUUUUAAUUGGUAAAUAAUAAAAUAAUACCAAUCAGAACAUCACAGUUGCUUAUCUCAUGGAGAUUACACAAUAAAAUAAAUACGUAGCUGUAAAUACAUCUUGUUAUAGCAGAGAAUAGUCUGCACGCUUUAAAUUACUUAUAAGAAACAAUUACACUUCCUUAUGAAGUCAGAUACCAGAAAAAAAAUAAAAGGUGGUCUGUCCCCCAACUUCGGGAGUAUAUCACCACACAAAACACAAGCAAAUUAAAAAAUACAGGUGAGUCAGGUGAUAUACCAGAUAAAACCUCGUGUUUCUGAGUUCCAGGCAAUAUGUUAUCUUGUGUCUUUGCAGAAGAAAAAAAUAAAAU